GGUCAGCCUGGAGUAGUGGCUUGCGUAUUGGACUAUGACUCUGGAGACCAGGGUUCAAAUCCAUGCUUGGCCA